AUUUGACCUCAGAUCAGGUAGGACUACCGCCUGAACUUAAGCAUAUCAAUAAGGCGAGGAACAGAAACCAACAGGGAUUCCCUUAGUAGUGGCGAAUGAAUCGGGAAAAGCUCAAGUUUGAAAUCCGAGGUUUACCUCGGAGUUGUAAGCUGAAGAGGCAUCGAUCGACCCGGUCCGGGCUCAAUUUCCUUGGAACAGGAGGUCAUGGAGGGUGAGAACCCCGUCUGUGGCUCGGGUGCCGUGGUCCUUGUGUCGUGUCCUCGAAGAGUCGGGUUGUUUGGGAAUGCAGCUCAAAAUGGGUGGUAAAUUUCAUCUAAAGCUAAAUAUUGGCGAGAGACCGAUAGCAAACAAGUAGAGUGAUCGAAAGAUGAAAAGUACUUUGAAAAGAGAGUGAAACAGUACGUGAAAUUGUUGAAAGGGAAGCGUUUGGCAUCAGCCCGUGGCCUUUGUCGAUCAUCCGGGCUUCUGCCCGGUGCCCUCGACGAGGGUUGGGCCAGCGUCGACUUUUUGAGCCGGAGAAAGGCCUUGGGAAUGUGGUUCCUUUUGGAGCGUUAUAUCCCUCGGCGUCAUGCGGCUCUGCGAGGUCGAGGUCUGCGGUUUAAUAACCUAGGACGCUGGCGUAAUGGUUCCAAGCGACCCGUCUUGAAACACGGACCAAGGAGUCUAACAUCUAUGCGAGUGUUUGGGUGUCAAGCCCUUCCGCGCAAUGAAAGUGAAUGCAGGCGGGAGCUUUUAGAGGGCCCACCGUCGACCGGUCCGGGGGUUUACCGAAGGAUCUGAGUAAGAGCAUAGCUGUUGGGACCCGAAAGAUGGUGAACUAUGCCUGAAUAGGGUGAGGCCAGAGGAAACUCUGGUGGAGGCUCGAAGCGGUUCUGACGUGCAAAUCGAUCGUCGAAUUUGGGCAUAGGGGCGAAAGACUAAUCGAACCAUCUAGUAGCUGGUUCCUGCCGAAGUUUCCCUCAGGAUAGCAGAAGCUCGUACAGUUUUAUGAGGUAAAGCGAAUGAUUAGAGGCCUUGGGGUCGAAACGACCUUAACCUAUUCUCAAACUUUAAAUAUGUAAGAAUUCCACGUCACUUAGUUGGACCUGGACACUCGAAUGAGAGCUUCUAGUGGGCCAUUUUUGGUAAGCAGAACUGGCGAUGCGGGAUGAACCGAACGCGGGGUUAAGGUGCCGGAAUGCACGCUCAUCAGACACCAUAAAAGGUGUUGGUUCAUCUAGACAGCAGGACGGUGGCCAUGGAAGUCGGAAUCCGCUAAGGAGUGUGUAACAACUCACCUGCCGAAUGAACUAGCCCUGAAAAUGGAUGGCGCUCAAGCGUGCUACCCAUACCCCGCCGUCCCAUGGCAAAUUGAUACGCCGGGACGAGUAGGCAGGCGUGGAGGUCCGUGACGAAGCCUGGGCGGAGACGCCGGGUCGAACGGCCUCUAGUGCAGAUCUUGGUGGUAGUA
rnacentral:rRNA from 1 species